AGAUUAAUGUAGGUAAGGGAAGUCGGCAAAUUAGAUCCGUAACAUUGGGAUAAGGAUUGGCUCUGAAGACUGGGAUGACUCGGGCUAUACCUUCCCGGGGUCCGGGGUUUGCCUCAAUGCGGUCCGGGCCGUUUCGUGUGGUGUUCGCGGACCGCCGGCGGUCGCCGGGUCGCUGCAGUCAUCAACUAACAGUUAAUUCAGAACUGACACGGAUAUGCCUGGAUAUAUAUAUAUCGUUGACACCUCUUCUUCUUGCUGCCAGUGACAGGGUGAUUUUCUCGAUUAUUGUCAUUAUUACGUAUCUUUACUAUCU
rnacentral:ncRNA from 2 species